CAUGCUGGAAAAGAGAUGAAUGCAAUGACCUUAUUGAAGGCUUGGGACCAAGAUCUCUUUGCACCAUGGUGUGAUAUCUUCAAUAUGCCGAUGACAAUAUCCUGCUCUCACCGGUGAGAUCUGUAGAGUUGUAACAUGUCAUAAUGGGCAGCGAAAGUUAGAGAUUUUAAAAAUUUCUUAAUAAAGUCCCUUAACAUGAAACCCUUAUAAGCCUAGAUCACCUUAAUGGUAACAAUUAAAUAAUAUAUAAAUAUAAAUGUAUGAAUAAAAGAAUACCUCUAACGCUAAUCCAAUAUGAAUGAUCUCCACAAGGCGUCCAAGUGUCCACCCUCCAAUGGUGAUCCAUACGAAAACUUGAUUUAAGACUUUAGCUCCAAAAACUUUGAUCCUUAAUGCAGAAUUCUUUCAAA
rnacentral:lncRNA from 1 species